rnacentral:tRNA from 1 species
GCCAGGGUAGCUCAGCCUGGGAGAGAGAACAGCCUCUAACACUCGGCUGAAGACCGAGCUGUCGUCGGUUCAAAUCCGGCCCCUGGCA